GCAUAUAUUUCCCGCAUGGGUUUUAUAUUAAAGAAAUUCGGUAUGAGAUGGGGAUGCGUUCCAUUAGUUUGUUGGGGGGGUAACGGCCCACCAAGACUACGAUGGAUAGGGGUUCUGAGAGGAAGGUCCCCCACAUUGGAACUGAGACACGGUCCAAACUCCUACGGGAGGCAGCAGUGAGGAAUAUUGGUCAAUGGACGCGAGUCUGAACCAGCCAAGUAGCGUGAAGGAUGACUGCCCUAUGGGUUGUAAACUUCUUUUAUAUGGGAAUAAAGUUGUCCACGUGUGGACUUUUGUAUGUACCAUAUGAAUAAGGAUCGGCUAACUCCGUGCCAGCAGCCGCGGUAAUACGGAGGAUCCGAGCGUUAUCCGGAUUUAUUGGGUUUAAAGGGAGCGUAGGCGGAUUGUUAAGUCAGUUGUGAAAGUUUGCGGCUCAACCGUAAAAUUGCAGUUGAUACUGGCAGUCUUGAGUGCAGUAGAGGUGGGCGGAAUUCGUGGUGUAGCGGUGAAAUGCUUAGAUAUCACGAAGAACUCCGAUUGCGAAGGCAGCUCACUGGAGUGUAACUGACGCUGAUGCUCGAAAGUGUGGGUAUCAAACAGGAUUAGAUACCCUGGUAGUCCACACAGUAAACGAUGAAUACUCGCUGUUUGCGAUAUACAGUAAGCGGCCAAGCGAAAGCAUUAAGUAUUCCACCUGGGGAGUAC
rnacentral:rRNA from 1 species